rnacentral:rRNA from 1 species
AGAGUUUGAUUCUGGCUCAGGAUGAACGCUGGCGGCGUGCCUAACACAUGCAAGUCGAGCGAUUCUCUUCGGAGAAGAGCGGCGGACGGGUGAGUAACGCGUGGGUAACCUGCCUCAUACACAUGGAUAACAUACCGAAAGGUAUGCUAAUACAGGAUAAUAUAAGAGAUUCACAUGGAUUUCUUAUCAAAGCUCCGGCGGUAUGAGAUGGACCCGCGUCUGAUUAGCUAGUUGGUAAGGUAACGGCUUACCAAGGCGACGAUCAGUAGCCGACCUGAGAGGGUGAUCGGCCACAUUGGAACUGAGACACGGUCCAAACUCCUACGGGAGGCAGCAGUGGGGAAUAUUGCACAAUGGGCGAAAGCCUGAUGCCAGCAACGCCGCGUGAGUGAUGAAGGCCUUCGGGUCGUAAAACUCUGUCCUCAAGGAAGAUAAUGACGGUACUUGAGGAGGAAGCCCCGGCUAACUACGUGCCAGCCGCAGC